AUGCAGCUGUUUGCAGGUUAGCAUAUUGCUAACCCUGUAUUAUAGCGAAAGAAACGGGCAGUGCAACAGCGUCUCAGCAAGCCAAGGGACAAAAUGCUGUCGGAGAGGCUCCAGCAUACCCCUGCGACCCUAGUGAGGAUAGGCGGCAUAGAAAAAUGAUGGCUGGAUGGAUGGCUGUCGGAGUAUGUGCAAACCAGAAGAAAAGAGGGAACAUUGUCCACGACACACUAAACUGGUUCCAUGAGCUCCUCAACCUGCUAAACCAGUCACGUCGUCCUGCACAUUGUCUUCCCACCACUUCCUGCUGAAUGCUGAACAUGAGAGAAGACGUAUAGCUUACAACAGCUGUACUUCGGCAUGGUGACGCUGCGAGAGCCAAGAAAGCAAAACGUGGGUGUAGGCCACAUUCCUCUCCAGAUGUUCAGCCUGGCUGUGCUCCACGCACAACAACAACAACAAUGACAAUAACACACUUUUGCAGACACAGAGCCCCUUUUGCACUGUGACUGGUUCAGAGCUUUUUUGGAGCUGGUUGUCAGAGCUUUGCUUUUCCACCGUUCUGCAUAAUGAGGUGGGUGGGGUUAUUUAAAAAAAAAGUCUGCGAAUUACCGCCAUCUUUAUUACAUUGCAUUGCAACUCUAACAAUGGAAAACGCUCCAAAAACAUAGACACUCGGAAACCCACUCUCAUUCAAACAAGUGCCAAAGAAAUUUGAAAUGGCAAUAGGAGCCCAGUCAAUACUGGAAUGCAUCAAGAGGCAAGAUGGCUGCAUUGGGUUUCUUUCGGUCUUUCAAACAAAUUAAUAACAAACUUCAGCAAUUAAAGAAGGACUACAAAGACCAAAAAAGACCUUGACAGGUGUGACAGUGGUUGGAGGAGAGUAAUGCCUUAUUUUGAGGAGCCAGCUAGCCAGGAGACAGCUAGCUGGUGCUGGUGUGUUAAAUACCACAAUGCUGUACUCCUCCGAACUCCACCGAAAUUCAGGAGGCUGUCAAAAAAGAAGACUCAUGCAAAAGUCAGAAUUUUCAACUGGUUUUAAGAUUUUGAUCAGGUCUGUACUAGCCUGCCGUUAGCAUGCUAGUUUGCUACUGAUGAUUGAAUGAAAGCCUCGUCACCCUCCCCUUCUCAUUUGUGUAUACGGCAGAAAAAAAUAGUUUCAUCGUAAACCUAUAGUCAUGUAAGAAGUAAAUUAAGGUGCAAAAUGCAAAACAUUUUAGCAUAAAGAUUGCACAUUGCAGGGUAUCGUAGCGAGGGGAGGAUGACCCAUCUCAUCACCAUUGUUUUCUGACAGAAAGAUAAAAACGUAUUAACCAGAACACAGUUGCAUGAUAAAUGUUACUUCUUACAUGACUAUAGGUUCACAAUGAAACUACUUUGCUGCCGUACGAACACAUGAGAAGGGGAGGGUGGCGAUCACUUGCUAUUGUCUAAUGAAUGAAAGCCUAUUCAACAAUAGUAAGCUAGCAUGCUAACGUUAACAUCCAUCCAUCCAUCCAUCGUCUACCGCUUAUUCGAGGUUGGGUCGCAGGAGCAGCAGCCUAACCAGGGAAGCCCAGACUUCCCUAUCCCUGGCCACUUCAUUCCAGCUCCUCCUGGCGUAUCCCGAGGCGUUCCCAGGCCAGUUGAGAGACAGUCUCUCCAACGUGUCUUGGGUCUUCCCCGGGGCCUUCUACCAAAUGCCCAAGCUGGCUCCUCUCAAUGCGGAGGAACAGCGGUUCUACUCCAAGUUUCUGCCGGAUGACAGUGCUUCUCACCUUAUCUCUAAGGGGGAGCCCAGCCACCCUAUGGAGAAAACUGAUUUUGACUGCUUAUACCCGCGAUCUUGUCCUUUCAGCCACUACCCAAAGCUCAUGAGCAUAGGCAGGGUACAACUGUAGCAGGAUAGAUUUUUUCUUUACCACAUUAGUCAACCCAUUUACAUUUAAUGAAAUUAUUUUCAAAUCAUGCAUAUUCCCUAUAUAAAUUCAACAACAAUAAAAAAGAACAAUCCUUAUCUAUUUUGUUCAGAAACCAAAAACUUAACAUUAACCUUUUGGCACACAAAAGUAAGGGAAAAAUAAAUGACAUUAAUAAAAAGAAUAUUUAAUCAAAUUAAACGUACAUCACAGAUCUCAAAAGUUAACUUCCAACAAAAGGGGUGAAUAAGACGUACUCUAAGCCGCCUAGAAAAGAAAAGUUCCCUGAAGAUGAACAAAUUUAACUCUCACGCACCCGUUGUUCCCAAUGUCCUCCCUCCAAAAGGAAAGAAAAAAACGUCACUUCAUGCUUAGCUUUAAUAAAUAAACAUAAAGGCUCCUUUUUAUGACGAGGAGUUCAUUUGUCUUUUAAUUGGCACAGAGAAGUAUACCUAUUAAUAGUGUUUCACUGUUCCAACUCCUCCAUGCGUGCCGGCCUUCCCUUCUCCCCUCGUCCGAUCGCUGUGGUCCACAUCCCUCUUUAGCAUCUUCUCUUGAAGUGUCUCUGUGUACUCCUCCUCGAUUCCUUUUUUUUGUCCUGUCCAGCUAUUAGGGCAGAUAGUAUUAUUGAUCUAAAUGCCCUUACGUGCUCAACAGAUUUGCUCUACCAGGGAAAAGUGUGAGAUACUCUUCCCCUGUUAAACAGAAUUUAUUUGACUUUGAUGUUUUUUUGUUAUGCAAAUUUGGAGCGGCCGGAACGGCGCAGGAGGGGAUAGACAAGAAGAGAAAAGAAAACAGAGGGUGGACAAUACAGAGACAGACAAGGACAACAGCAACAACAACAAUUGCGACAACAAUAACAAAACAACAGAAACAAACAGUAUUACAUCAGCACAUGGCUGUGACGGCUAUAAAGACCAUGAUGGAGAGGACAAAACACUACAAUGAUAAUACUGCAUUGAAACAGUCAUACACAUUAGUAGUAAUAGUAGUAAUGAAAUUAUUAACUAUGAUAGUGAACAGAAUGACAAUAACUGUAAUGCACAAAAUUGUAAUAACUAUAUCUGAUAUCACCAUCACUGUAAUAAAACCAACAACAUAGUACCCCCCUGGUUAACUCAGUGAGUUAUGUGGGGAAGACCAGCAAGGGGCCGCAGAGAGGCAACCCCGACCAGAAACAGGGCGCCUGCAGGCCGGAGGACAGCCAACCCCCGAGACCGGCAGGAGAUCAGACCCCACAAGGGCAGACGGACACCAGCAGGCCCAGAGACGGCCCUGCAACUGGAAAGGAGCCCACCCACGGCGGGAGCGCCAGCCCCCCACGCCACUCCCCACCCCCAGGGACCAGAGCCCGGCCCGCCCUGGGCCACCCCAUCCCCACCCUCAAUGUGUUUUCCUAAAUUCAUACUGGAGGAGCUGCUGUCAGAG